CGAACGAUGAACCCACUUCGGUGGGGGAUUAGUGGCGAACGGGUGAGUAACACGUGGGCAAUCUGCCCUUCACUCUGGGACAAGCCCUGGAAACGGGGUCUAAUACCGGAUAUGACCACUUCAGGCAUCUGAUGGUGGUGGAAAGCUCCGGCGGUGAAGGAUGAGCCCGCGGCCUAUCAGCUUGUUGGUGAGGUAAUGGCUCACCAAGGCGACGACGGGUAGCCGGCCUGAGAGGGCGACCGGCCACACUGGGACUGAGACACGGCCCAGACUCCUACGGGAGGCAGCAGUGGGGAAUAUUGCACAAUGGGCGAAAGCCUGAUGCAGCGACGCCGCGUGAGGGAUGACGGCCUUCGGGUUGUAAACCUCUUUCAGCAGGGAAGAAGCGCAAGUGACGGUACCUGCAGAAGAAGCGCCGGCUAACUACGUGCCAGCAGCCGCGGUAAUACGUAGGGCGCAAGCGUUGUCCGGAAUUAUUGGGCGUAAAGAGCUCGUAGGCGGCUUGUCGCGUCGGAUGUGAAAGCCCGGGGCUUAACCCCGGGUCUGCAUUCGAUACGGGCAGGCUAGAGUGUGGUAGGGGAGAUCGGAAUUCCUGGUGUAGCGGUGAAAUGCGCAGAUAUCAGGAGGAACACCGGUGGCGAAGGCGGAUCUCUGGGCCAUUACUGACGCUGAGGAGCGAAAGCGUGGGGGAGCGAACAGGAUUAGAUACCCUGGUAGUCCACGCCGUAAACGUUGGGAACUAGGUGUUGGCGACAUUCCACGUCGUCGGUGCCGCAGCUAACGCAUUAAGUUCCCCGCCUGGGGAGUAC
rnacentral:rRNA from 1 species